rnacentral:rRNA from 1 species
GUAGGGAAUCUUGCGCAAUGGGCGAAAGCCUGACGCAGCCAUGCCGCGUGAAUGAUGAAGGUCUUAGGAUUGUAAAAUUCUUUCACCGGGGACGAUAAUGACGGUACCCGGAGAAGAAGCCCCGGCUAACUUCGUGCCAGCAGCCGCGGUAAUACGAAGGGGGCUAGCGUUGCUCGGAAUUACUGGGCGUAAAGGGAGCGUAGGCGGAUAGUUUAGUCAGAGGUGAAAGCCCAGGGCUCAACCUUGGAAUUGCCUUUGAUACUGGCUAUCUUGAGGAUGGAAGAGGUAUGUGGAACUCCGAGUGUAGAGGUGAAAUUCGUAGAUAUUCGGAAGAACACCAGUGGCGAAGGCGACUCACUGGCCCGUUACUGACGCUGAGGCGCGAAAGCGUGGGGAGCAAACAGGAUUAGAUACCCGGGUAGUCC